rnacentral:snRNA from 1 species
AUCGCUUCUCGGCCUUUUGGCUAAGAUCAAGUGUAAUAACACAGUUGAGACUGUGAUGUGUUGUAAAUCUAAAUUUGUGACUGAUUUUGAAAAUGUAUUAUUAAAAAGAUAAGUCCUCGUCCACACAGUGUGAAAUGGGUUAUUUUUAAAUUUG